CUGAUAUGGUUGCAAGCCUCGAGAAGGCGGGUCUCUCUUUCGCAGCAAAAGAUGAAACUGGGGAGCGCAUGGAGAUAGUAGAAGUUCCAAGCCACCCUUUUUUCAUAGGUGCUCAAUUCCAUCCCGAGUACAAAUCGAGUCCCGGGAAAGUAUCUCCUCUGUUCUUAGGACUACUGGCAGCAUCCUGUGGUGAGCUAGAAGCAGUCCUGAAUCCAGUUUCCAUUCACCAAGACAACCAAACUAUGGUACUUGGAAAAGAAGCAAGGGUUGGUCCAAAAAACUGGUUUUAGUAAUGAAACCAUAGAGCUCAAAAACAUAUUGUCCAAUCUGCAAUAAAGCUCAACUGUCCGAGAUAUGUUUUUUUUCCUGGAAGAAUAAAGAAAUGAAGCCAUUGGCCCAUAUGUCAAAUAAGUUAUAUGUAUAUGUGUAGAAGCAACAUUUAAUACUUGGAGAUUUACUAGAUAUCAUAUAAUUUAAGUGAUAUUAUCAGAACUAUAUAAAUCUUUCAUUUAU